CACCACUACACCGUCACGCCCCCGUCCUGUUGGAGAGGAUGUCGUUGUAGAGUGUACUGAGGGGAACGGUAUUUCAAAUGGAUGAUAACGCUAAGGCUUGUCAGGGGUAUUUGCAUACGUUAGCACAAUUUGCCCCGCCAUUUUUGCUAGGCAGGUUUGCUUGUGUUGCAGGAGAGCUGGCUCGUUCCAGAAAUAAAAGUUUUGAGAGAGGCUGAGUGCACGAGAAUUUUUUUGUAGCGCACCUCGCUGCAGGGGCUUGCUCGUUACUGGUGUUGAAGGGCGUAAUCGAGUACAAAACAAUGAUGGGGCUGCUUUGUUUUUUUUUGCUGAAAAAUGCGCAUUGCAAACGCGCUGGAGCCAGCGAGCCGUUAGUGAGGGCGCUUUCUUACUGGUGAUGGCGCCUGUUUAUCGCGUUUUGGGUGACAAGCGUCACAGUUGCACGGAUUCUGACGUGGGGACGUGUCAGCGGAGCACGGGCACGUAAUUAGAGCUAAUUAGAAUCCGCAGUGUAUUUUAGCUUUGCAGGAAUGUACUGCGACAGUUUUGCUGGGGGAAGUGGCGUUAUUGCAAAUGGAAAAUCGUUGAUUGCCCCGUUGCGAGCUGCAGAUGGCGCGAGUGAUGGAAAGAAGGGCUCUGGCGCGAAUUGAAUGGAUGUGGCGCAGAGAGGGUGGAUGCUUGUAACUUGCAAACGGAUUGUUCGAGCACACCGAAUUUUACAGUCGAAGUAGUAAACGGAUGAAAGGCGGCUCUCGCAGUAGACCACGAUACUGACUAAGCGCUUCUGACGUACAUAGCAUUCCCUGCGUCAGGACCUCAGUUUACCGGGGGACGCCGCGAAGGAGAAGGAAGGGGGGGGUCGCUUUGUCUGCCAGCUGGAGUUUCAAUUGAUAGCGAAGCUAUACUAAACUCCCCUUUUGCGCACUUGCAGUAAUCGUGCGCUCGGGGUACGGAAGAGCGUUGCAUCUGUUUCUGUAACAUGGCGUGGCGAUGCUGCUCGGUUUGUUGAAUAUCACCCCCCGCUAUUUGUUGCGAAGAGCAGGUGCAUGGGACAUAGGCAACUGGCGUACGCACCUGCAUCGGGUACUUUAUCGUUGCUUUUUCGGUGUCUAUGUAAGCCGUGGCGGUAUGUAGGUCUUAGUGUAAGCGGUGUUGCUGUAAUUGGACCACGUUUAUCGAUUGCAAUGAUCUGGUAAGGAAAUGCUUAAGUGGGGUGUUAGCGGCAGUGAUGUAAAUGCUUUCUUAGUUUACUCCUCGUUCCUGCUGUGCAGAGUUUCUUUGCAAAGCAGUAUGGGUGCUAUGAGAAGUUAGUCAUACGUCCUUAAAAGAAGGUGCUGUGCGGCAAGUAGCAAAUGUGAUGUACAUGCAUGGGGAUAAAAGGACUUGGUAGACCUGCAAAUUCUGUUCUCUAUGCUUCCUGCUCCUGCUUCUAAGAUGUUGUGAGGGCACUGGAGGCUAUGCCAGAUGACGCUGUUGCGUUACCUGUCGUGACCUGAGGUGCUCUAAGACAUUCCUGAAAUUUUUUUCUUUGUGUAUUUCUUCCCUUCACGAGGGUGUCACUUUUGCCGGAGACGCGACGGUUUCACACAGAACUGUCUUUUUUCGUGCUGUUUCUGCUGAGAGCGUUACGAAGAGGAGAUGAAAUGCUGAAUUGAAGAAGUGACUAUUGAUAUAGGGUAUGGUGUGCUAUGGGGGUUUAUGACGCCUAGUGCUAGUAGAAAAGCCUACCAUAUAAUGUGCUAGGGCUGGUGAGAUACGUGGCGUUAAAAAAGAACGUGUGCGCGGGAUGUCGUUCUGUUGUGCGAAAGGUAAAGUUCAGAUUAUGAUGUACAGCCUUGCGCAUGCGUGGUGUUUUCGCAUUGUGGUCGCCUGUGUGAUUUUGAGCUGUUGGUCGCUCGUAUCUUUUUUCUCGUGUUUCUUCGACAACCUUCCGUUAUUACGGUGGUGGGGGUUUGUUCGGCGCCAUCAGUAGAAUCGACCUUGCGAAUCGUGAAUAUUUGCGUAGGGAACGCUGUUUUACUGGGGCUUGGGCUAGUAUUGAUUUUUUUUCACUUUUUCAGUGAACCUUGUGAGGCGUUGUGACGCGGAGGAAAUUCGGUGUAGAUCUUUUUCCUGCAAGUGUGUAUGAGUUCGGAUGCUUGUUCACAUACGGGGGUUAUCCGAAAAUCGGCGUUAUUUGCUUGCCCAACGUGUCUGCUCAUGGAUCUUUGAAAUUGUCGUAGUUAAUAGUUACUCUGUACGUCGUUCGGAUUUCGGUUUUUCUCCGGCGUAUAAGGGCCCAUUCAUCGACAGGAUCUCUCAUGGAAGCGGUGACAGUAGGAAGUGUGCUGGCAUUUGCGGCGUUACAGUUUAUUGCAGGUAAGCUUAAUUAUCCUCCAAUGGGUUUUCUGUGUGUGUCUAUCACUUUUGAUAUCACUGAAGCAAAGGCAACGUGUAUGGCCGUGCCCAAGGCAGUGAGCGCUUCGCCCUUUUCUUUGUGUUUGCUUUUUGUACACUGUUGGUGUGCUGUGAAGAAGCAGACGUGUUUAUUACUUUCCGUUGCCAGUGGAGAACUAUGAGCUCAUUGUUUCUGCUGUGCCUUUUUUUUUGUUGCUUUAGAAGUAAUCUGUUUUCUUCUUUUUUUUCAGUAGUGGCGAUCGGUUCUUUGGUAAGGUGGCGGUGUUUACCGUGCGUUUCAAGACGUUGAUGUGCUUGUUAAAGGCGUUCUAGGUUGGCUGCUCUUAAGUGAAGCGUGGCUAGAUAUGAAAGUAGUGAAGGGAUUCCGAGGAGGAUUGGAUGACACGUGUACUGUGCAGUUUUCCUAAUCUCUUUAGACGGAACUCCGUCGUUCUCUGGACAAGGGUGUCUUGGUUGCUUCGUCGGUGGCGGAUCAGAUGUUAUACUUAAAGGAGCUUUUACUUUUUCAGGAGAGUCAAUUUUAACAGGGCCUUAGCCUUGUGUAUGGGAUAGAACACCUCUAUUUUUUUUUUUCUGUCGUUCCGGUAAUGUUGAUUCUGACGAUGGCAUUUUGCUUUCGGUUACCUUCUCACUGAAGCCACCCCAUGUGGCUGUUUGUCUGGGCUGUUUUUGGAUCGUACGCAAAAGCGAUAACGGCAAAAUGGCAACAAGUAUGCGCUGUUGAUUUAGCUAUUGAUUAUCUUUUUUUUUUUGAUCACAUGUUUUAUGUUUAUGCCUUCUGCUCUGGCACUUUCGGAUAAUAGUGGUAAGGUGGCUGUAUAAAAGGUCUGUGGUGUGUGUGUGUUGUGCGGUGUUGUGAGCACGAAUGUAGAAUGGGAUGCUUGCGCGUUUACUGCCAAUCGUAAAGCUGUCCCUGCUGAAUGGCCUACCCAGAAAAGUAGGUUCAUGAACCCUGAAAGUAAGACGAAAUGCGCACAGUAGUGCUCAACCUUUCAUGAAAAACGCGUAUCUGUAUUGUUUCGUUGGACAGAUGGGAGAUUCUAUGCGGCGGAGAACCUUUUCACGGUUUUCGAACCUCUCUACUUGUGUUCAUUUUGGUGCGUAGCCCUGCUUGUUGAUUUGUUUCUGAAAGCUGUCUUUGCGAAAAAAAAAAAACAUUGAGCGGCUUUGCUAGCGGAUCAGAAACUGUAGUAUGCCAGAAGAAUGCUGCCAAAGAGGUCGGGUCCUGUGCCCUCUGGCGACGCACUCGUGUUUGACGCUUAGGUGUGUGUGUGUGUGGAUGGGGUUUUCAAAUUUUGUGAGUCGCUCGGGAAGCAGCGGAUGAAGCGACCCUUCUAAUUGGUCGCAAUUGCGGUUGCGGGUGUUCGAAAUGUCGUUUGUGGUGAGGGA
rnacentral:misc_RNA from 1 species